ACAGAAUGACUCUCGGCAACGGAUAUCUAGGCUCUUGCAUCGAUGAAGAACGUAGCGAAAUGCGAUACUUGGUGUGAAUUGCAGAAUCCCGUGAACCAUCGAGUCUUUGAACGCAAGUUGCGCCCGAAGCCAUCAGGUUGAGGGCACGUCUGCCUGGGCGUCAC
rnacentral:rRNA from 1 species